rnacentral:snoRNA from 1 species
UGCCUUUGAUACAUAAACAAAUGCACGUAUUAUCGGAUUGUUUUAUGACGAUCAACCAAAUAUUGUCACUACCACUAAGGCA